rnacentral:rRNA from 1 species
AUUGAACGCUGGCGGCAGGCUUAACACAUGCAAGUCGAGCGGGGGAGGUUGCUUCGGUAACUGACCUAGCGGCGGACGGGUGAGUAAUGCUUAGGAAUCUGCCGUUUAGUGGGGGACAACAUUCCGAAAGGAAUGCUAAUACCGCAUACGUCCUACGGGAGAAAGCAGGGGAUCUUCGGACCUUGCGCUAAAUGAUGAGCCUAAGUCGGAUUAGCUAGUUGGUGGGGUAAAGGCCUACCAAGGCGACGAUCUGUAGCGGGUCUGAGAGGAUGACCGGCCACACUGGGACUUAGACACGGCCCAGACUCCUACGGGAGGCAGCAGGGGGGAAUAUUGGACAAUGGGCGGAAGCCUGAUCCAGCCAUGCCGCGUGUGUGAAGAAGGCCUUAUGGUUGUAAAGCACUUUAAGCGAGGAGGAGGCUACUAGUAUUAAUACUACUGGAUAGUGGACGUUACUCGCAGAAUAAGCACCGGCUAACUCUGUGCCAGCCGCCGCGGUAA